rnacentral:sRNA from 1 species
GCACUAUUUAUUUUAUUAUACUGAAUGUCUUAAUUAUUAACUUAACAGCGAAAUCCAAGAAAAUUGGUAUUUAACUUAUAUUGAUGAAACCACAAUAUUUCUCAUAGUUUUCUCACCAUUCUAUCCUAUUUCUGAGCUCAUUUUCACAUUUUCUGUUGAUCUAUUAUAUUUGUGUAUUUUGUAAUUUUUCAUUCUUAUACCAUUUUCAUGUUUUUUGAAAGUUAUACAUAAUUUGUAAAUACGGUAGUUUAUAUUUGCAUUUAACUUCAUUUUUACUCUGCAAUAUUUUCACCAUUUGUUAAAAAUAUGUAUAUGAAAUAGUUUAUGAUGAAAACUAAUAUUAUAUUAAAUCUCAUAUUCUUGGUACUAUUUUUGAUUGUAUUUAGUAUACGUAUAGAAUGAAGGUGCUGUUUUUUGCAAAAAAAGAAAAAGGAAAUAAAAAAAAUAUUUAUAUGAAGUUGGAUUAGAAAGUAAAUCGUCAAAAUU